GGGGUUGUGGCUCAGUGGUAGAGCGCUCGCCUAGUAUGUGUAAGGCCCUGGGUUCAAUCCUCAGCUCCA
rnacentral:tRNA from 1 species